GUGAGGAAUAUUGGGCAAUGGGCGAAAGCCUGACCCAGCCACGCCGCGUGAGUGAUGAAGGCCUUCGGGUUGUAAAGCCCUUUUGUACGGAAAGAAAUCCUGGUGGUUAAUACCCGCCGGGGAUGACGGUACCGUAAGAAUAAGCACCGGCUAACUUCGUGCCAGCAGCCGCGGUAAUACGAAGGGUGCAAGCGUUAAUCGGAAUUACUGGGCGUAAAGCGUGCGUAGGUGGUUUCUUAAGUCUGUCGUGAAAGCCCUGGGCUCAACCUGGGAAUGGCGAUGGAUACUGGGAGGCUAGAGUGCGGUAGAGGAUGGCGGAAUUCCCGGUGUAGCGGUGAAAUGCGUAGAGAUCGGGAGGAACAUCUGUGGCGAAGGCGGCCAUCUGGACCAGCACUGACACUGAGGCACGAAAGCGUGGGGAGCAAACAGGAUUAGAAACCCUAGUAGUCC
rnacentral:rRNA from 1 species